GCAUUCGGAAGAACGCGGCCAGCGUGGCACACGAGCGAGAAGAUUGGGUCCCGGGCGCGGUGGCAGCCGGGCUUCCUGGCCCACGCUCGCUUCGGGCUCCCACUUGGACCGAGGCCCAUGAGGUCCUUCCUUUGUCCAGGAACUGCCAAACGUGAACACGGGUCGGCAAAGCUUCUCCAGCACCGUGGCCAAGCUCCGGCAUCGAGCUCGAGAUUGCACCGGCGUCGGUCGACGCUGCCUGGACGACACUAGAUCAGCGUCGACUAUUUGCAUCUACGGCUGCAAGACCCACACAGGCCCUCGUCCUCCUGGUCGUAUGAUCAGGAAGAGAGCUGGACUGGCCCCUAUUAUGCACGUGCAUCUUCUACGGACUUUCUUUUUGGUCCGGGAAUUAGUUAUCUACGUCAGAGUGGCAUGUUACCACCUCGACAACAAGGUGCGAUCAGCAGGACUCUUCUGACGGCAGCCCAGCAUUUCAGCCCGAUCCUCAAAAGGCGCCUGCAUGUGUUGAGGAAUGUGCGGCUUGGUGCAAUGACCGCCUGCACCUUGGUCAUCGCCAAAGAGCUGCUUGUCGCCGUCUUGACACCAUGUGCCAGAUUGUGCGACUUGGUGCAUGGACAACUUGCACCAUUGUCCUUGCCAUCGCUCUGGUUGUCGCUUCCUGAAGCCCCCAAGUCCGUAAGUACAAACAAUUACGCAGCGUCCAAGUUGCGUGAAAGACCUUCGAAUCUUUAUCACAGCUUAUAUGGGGCUUGUAGAGGAGGUCGUCUGAUGUAUCAGCAAAGCACGAAUAAUGCUGAUAACGGCCCUAGAAAUAAAGUGAACACUUUCCUGCGCUUCUUGAACGUUGAACUUUUUUACUCACAUUGGGCCAACUCACUGUUUUCCAGCUCAUGUUCUCGAAAGCCUGCGAUUAAGGGCAGUUGUUAGCUAUGGAUAAUGGUAGGCAGGGCAAGGCCAAAAAUGCUGUGAUUCAAGGCUGAAUUUAUGACGCAUAUUGUCUUGCGCCAGCCGGUCAACAUGCCAACUGGGUGCAAACAAGAGACGAAGAAUGAGCGCUAUCAUUAUUCAAGGAGCGUGUUCUUAAAAAAAAAAAAAAGAAAAAAAAAACAUCCGAUUGCGCGCUUCGUUACGAUGUCUUACCCCUGCUGUUUGAUUUGCAAAAUAAGUGAUCAUACGUCUCCAACGGUGCGAACGCUUUUGAAGGUGCCUUGUAAUUUACGAGGAAUGUUGAAUGUCAUUGUGUACGUAAUGUCUUGUUUUAUGCCAGUAGCAACGAGACCGGGUAGCCGUCUGCUAGUUCAUAGACGGCAUAGAGUAUGUCGGUUACCUUCGCGUCUGCACGGCUACUCCUCAAUAUCUGCAAAUCUACUAAUUAACUCAUGACUGCCAAAUACACUUCUUCCUCAUGCAGUGCCACCUAACUAUAUAUAUAUA